rnacentral:rRNA from 1 species
UACGUAGGAGGCAAGCGUUAUCCGGAAUGACUGGGCGUAAAGGGUGCGUAGGUGGUUUGACAAGUUGGUAGCGCAACUCCGGGGCUCAACCUCGGCACUACUACCAAAACUGUUGAACUUGAGUGCAGGAGGGGCAAAUGGAAUUCCUAGUGUAGCGGUGGAAUGCGUAGAUAUUAGGAGGAACACCAGUGGCGAAGGCGGGUUCCUGGACAUUAACUGACGCUGAGGCACGAAGGCCAGGGGAGCGAAAGGG